ACGGGUGCUUUACGCCACGAGGCUGAUGCGUUUGGGUUCUCGUCUGCAGACUCUCUGGACCUGGUCACGAUUCCACAAUGUACCACAACAGUAGCCAGAAGCGGCACUGGACUUUCUCCAGUGAGGAGCAGCUGGCAAGACUGCGGGCCGACGCCAACCGCAAAUUCAGAUGCAAAGCCGUGGCCAACGGGAAGGUUCUUCCGAAUGAUCCAGUCUUUCUUGAGCCUCAUGAAGAAAUGACACUCUGCAAAUACUAUGAGAAAAGGUUAUUGGAAUUCUGUUCGGUGUUUAAGCCAGCAAUGCCAAGGUCUGUUGUGGGUACGGCUUGUAUGUAUUUCAAACGUUUUUACCUUAAUAACUCAGUAAUGGAAUAUCACCCCAGGAUAAUAAUAACUUGAGAUCUCUCUUUACCUGUACUUCAGUAAUUCUGGUGGCUCACUUGUGCAUUUUUGGCCUGCAAAGUAGAUGAAUUCAAUGUAUCUAGUCCUCAGUUUGUUGGAAACCUUCGGGAGAGUCCUCUUGGACAGGAGAAGGCACUUGAACAGAUACUGGAAUAUGAACUACUUCUUAUACAGCAACUUA
rnacentral:sRNA from 1 species